GACCGCGAAUGAGGCUAAGCAGCAACAAGGCAACACUCGCGCACCUGUGGCUCCAUUCGGCUGGCGUGACGACGUCGUCGUUGUUGUUGUCGUCGUCGCCUUCACACGACGUCAUUGACGCGUAACGUCGUGCGGCGAGAACGGCUGCACCGAGUCCAAGUGGUGAGCGCAGCCGCCUCACAGUGCUCGAGUCGGGGGUUUGAGGGUCCAGCUCAUCCGGACGAGCACGACUGAAGAUGGAUGAAUCCGACCUGUCCUUUUCUCUUCCACAAUUAGAAGAAACUAAAGACAAUCCGUGGUCCGGCAGCGUACAGAAACAACAGUGCGCAAUAAAUAGGGUUAGAAAACGAGUCAGAUACAUUAAACACAAGAACAAUAAUCAGCGUAGUAAUAAAAAGAAUAGGAGGAAAUCCAAUGACGUCACCACCACCACCCUUCGACCGAUCGGAUAAAUUAACAAUAGAAAAAAAAACAACUUCACUGUGUCCUGUGACCUCAAUGACACACAAGAUGGUGUCAGCUGUCCAUUGAGAUGGUCAAAAGAUGAGUUGAUUUGCUUUUUUCUCCAAAGUAAGUCUCCUCCUUUUUUUUUUUUGCUUUCUUUCCUUCACAUUCGGUAGUUUGCAUGAACAAAAAGGAUCAAACCAUUGAAAGUUCAAGUCAAACAAAAACAAUGACAGCAAGUGAUGAAGGUUAUUUUUUUCCAAUUUUUUUAGAACAAAGAAUCCUUAGCACCGCUUGACUUUUAGCCUUCACAGCAUCAGCCCGAGUGUACGCUGAUUUUGGCCAAAUGAUACUGGAUUAGAAAUGACUUAUUUUAUCUUAGACUAGCAUCACUUAAUUUAUUUUAUCAUCAGUUAUCUCACAGUGAGGAAAAUAAAUAUUUGAACACCCAGCGAUUUUGUAAAUUCUCCCACUUUGAAAUCGUAGAGGGUCUGAAAUGUUCAUUUUACGUGCAUGUCCACUGUGAGACAGAUCAUCUAAAAAAAAAAAAAAAAAAAAAGAAAAAUCCUAAACAACCCAACUAUUUAUUUGGAUGUUGCUGCUCCAAAUAAGUAUUUGAACACCUGUGGAAAUCAGUUUUAAGGUUUGGUACAGGAAGGAGCCUUUGUUUGCCAUUCCAGAGGUCAAAGGUUUCCUGUAGUUUUCGCGCACACUGCAGCAGGGAUUCUGGCCCGUUCUUCCACUCAGAUCUUUUUGCGAUCAGAUGGGAUUUUUUUGGGCUGUCGCUGAGCUUUCGGUCUGGAGACUGGCUAGGGCACUGCAGAACCUUCAUAUACUUUUAACGCAGCCAGCCCUUGGUUAUCCUGGCAGCGUGCAUCGGGUUAUUGUCAUGUUGAAAGACCCAGCCGCGACCCAUCUUCAGUGCUCGGACUGAGGGAAAGAAGUUGUUCCUCAAAAUCUCACAAUACAUGGCCGUGGUCAUCCUCUCCUUAAUCCAGUGCAGUCGUCCUGCCCCAUGUGCAGGAAAACACCCCCAAAGCAUGAUGCUACUACCCCCGUGCUUCGCAGUGGGCAUGGUAUUCCUCCUUCGAACAUGGCAAGUGGAAUUAAGACCCAAAGGUUCUGUUUUAGGUCUCAUCUGUCCACAUAACUUUCCCCCAUGACUCCUCUGGAUCAUCCAAAUGGUCAAGGGCCUGGACGUGUGCUGAUUUAUGCACGGGAACCUUCCGUGCCACGCGUGAUACUAAAUCAUCCGUCGACGUCCUAGUAAGUGUAUUACCCACGGUAACCUUGGAAACAGUGGUGCCAGUUCGUCCUGUGUCGUCUUUACCUUUCUUAGGCUCGGUGGAAUCUUGCUUGGCGAACCCAAAGGUCCAAGGGAGAAGGACAUUGUGUUUAGCUCCUUCCAUUUUCUCAUAAUGGCUCCAACAGUUCAUUUUUUUUUUUUCACCAAAGACUUUGGCAAUUGGCCUGCAGCCCUUUCCGGCCUUGUGGAGGCCUCCAAUUUUGUCUCUGUUGACUUUGGACAGCUCUUUUGGUCUUGGCAGUGUCACAAGUUUGAGUCUUACUGAUUGGAUGGGGUGGACAAGGUAUCUUUACGCAGCUAAUGAUCUCAUAGGUCUUGGAGGGCCAGAUGGUUUGCUGAUUGGCAUAGGGUUGUUCACGUUUUUCGCAGUAACAUACAAAUACGUUGAAAAAAAAAGCAUACAUUGUGAUUUCCCGAUUUUUUUUUUUUUAUUUUUUUUUUUUUUUAGAUUAUAGCUGUCGGAGGGUUGGACGUGCUCCUAAGAUGAACAUUUCAGACCCCUCCAUUUCAAAUUGGGAGAACUUGCAAAAUUGCAGGCUGGUCAAAUACUUAUUUUGCACACUGUAGCGAGGAUGUCAACAGUUGACAAGACACAAUCACAGGGAGCUGAUCGGAGGUUUUGUUCAAUCAGGGAACCCCGGCGAAAUCGGACUUGCUAUCAGAAUCCCUCAACGGUGCCAAUGUUGUGAACAAAGCAGUCCAGUCAACUUCAGUGGAUGGGACGGGGAAAGCGGUCCACGUCGGAGGGUUCCAGGUAUCCGAGGUGUCCGACGGGGUCCUCCGGGCAAGAGUCGGCGACGAGCGCUGCGGAGUCCGGGUCCCGCGUCUCCUU